CAUAGCGUAUAUUAAAGUUGUUGCGGUUAAAAAGCUCGUAGUUGGAUUUCUUCCAGGGGCAGUCGGUCCACACUACGUGUGCGUAUCUGAUUUGACUUUGGAAUCCUCUUGGGGAACAUCUCUGCGCUUAACUGCGUGGAAUGGUAUUCAAGACUUUUACUUUGAGGAAAUUAGAGUGUUCACGGCAGGCAAUCGCCCUGAAUACAUUAGCAUGGAAUAAUAAUAUAGGAUUUCGGUUCUAUUUUGUUGGUUUCUAGAGCUGAAAUAAUGAUUAAUAGGGACACUUGGGGGCAUUCGUAUUAUCACGUCAGAGGUGGAAUUCUUGGAUUGUGUUACGACGAACUACUGCGAAAGCAUUUGCCAAGGAUGUUUUCAUUGAUCAAGAACGAAAGUAAGGGGAUCGAAGACGCUUAGAUACCGUCGUAGUCUUUACCAUAAACUAUGCCAACUAGGGAUUGGAGGGCGUUCUUCAUUCGACUCCUUCAGCACCUUAUGAGAAAUCAAAGUUUUUGGGUUCCGGGGGGAGUAUGGUCGCAAGGCUGGAACUUAAA
rnacentral:rRNA from 1 species